GACGAACUGUACAAACGUUUAUUCGGAAUUACUGGGCUUAAAGGGUGCGUAGGCGGCGGUGCAAGUUGGGUGUGAAAUCCCUCGGCUCAACCGAGGAACUGCGCUCAAAACUGCAUUGCUUGAGGGAGAUAGAGGUGAGUGGAACUUAGGGUGGAGCGGUGAAAUGCGUUGAUAUCCUAAAGGAACACCAGUGGCGAAAGCGACUCACUGGGUCUCUUCUGACGCUGAGGCACGAAAGCUGAGGGUAGCGAAACGGG
rnacentral:rRNA from 1 species